GCAUGAUUGGUCUCUGUACUCUCCUAUGCUGCUCUCUGUCCAGCCUCAGGUGCUCCAGUGCCCAGAAAUGCACAAGGACCAGCACCUGGAGGUACUGACAUGUAAGAAAAGAUGGGUGCCUGUGUGUGAAAGAGAACUUGGAAGGGCUCUCUGUGCUUGGGCUGUUGCUUCAUGACCUGCAGUGGCCACCCAGCACCUGAACACACAGAGCUUGGACCCAGGUGUUGGGGAGCUGCAAAUGAGAUGAUGCAUGAGCUCCUGGGAUGCAGUGUUGUUCUGGGACAUCUGCUCUGGGCAUCCUGCUCUUCAGCUCUCCUGUUACUGGAGCCUUUUGGAUGCAGUGCAGAAGACAAGCAGCAAUUAGCACACUUACUAGCCUAAUCUUGAACCAACUGGCAGAUGAGAGCUGUUGCAACUUUCCGGUAGGUUUCUGUGCCAGGAAAUCAAACCAGCUAAUGAGGGCUGGGCUGCCGGCUUCUCUUACUGUUCUCCCAUGAAGGGAAGGCUUGGGUUUGAAGCAGCUCUGCAGUGCCAUAUCUGAAAGCUAGUGUUGUGGUUUUGUACACAUACACACACUUGAUUCUCUUCAUCAAUAUUUUACAUAUGCAGGUGUACAUAAUCUUCAUUUUUAUGCAAAUCUCUCUGCAGCCAGACAGGUGCAUUUUCUGAUUUCUAUUCAUCAUCAAGAAAUCCAAUAACUUGGUUGUGUACUUACAUCUGGUUAGGGGUUGACCCAGUGUGCACUUAAGCAUGGAUUUCAAAUAUGGGCAGCAGGGAAAUAGCUUAUUUCCCCCCUGGCCUUUAUAAAAUUAAAUGCAAAA